AAGCUUGUAGUUUAAUGGUUAAAACAUGAAGCUCAUAACUUUAUGAUUAAAGGUUCAAUUCCUUUCAAGCUUA
rnacentral:tRNA from 1 species